rnacentral:rRNA from 1 species
UACAGAGGUCUCAAGCGUUGUUCGGAUUCAUUGGGCGUAAAGGGUGCGUAGGCGGCGCGGUAAGUCGGGUGUGAAAUCUUGGAGCUUAACUCCGAAACUGCAUUCGAUACUGCCGUGCUUGAGGACUGGAGAGGAGACUGGAAUUUACGGUGUAGCGGUGAAAUGCGUAGAUAUCGUAAGGAAGACCAGUGGCGAAGGCGAGUCUCUGGACAUUUCCUGACGCUGAGGCACGAAAGCCAGGGGAGCAAACGGG